rnacentral:rRNA from 1 species
CCUACGGGAGGCAGCAGUGGGGAAUUUUGGACAAUGGGCGCAAGCCUGAUCCAGCAAUGCCGCGUGAGUGAAGAAGGCCUUCGGGUUGUAAAGCUCUUUUGUCAGGGAAGAAACGGUGGGGGCUAAUAUCCUUUGCUAAUGACGGUACCUGAAGAAUAAGCACCGGCUAACUACGUGCCAGCAGCCGCGGUAAUACGUAGGGUGCAAGCGUUAAUCGGAAUUACUGGGCGUAAAGCGUGCGCAGGCGGUUUUGUAAGUUUGUCGUGAAAUCCCCGGGCUCAACCUGGGAAUGGCGAUGAAGACUGCAAGGCUAGAAUCUGGCAGAGGGGGGUAGAAUUCCACGUGUAGCAGUGAAAUGCGUAGAGAUGUGGAGGAACACCGAUGGCGAAGGCAGCCCCCUGGGUCAAGAUUGACGCUCAUGCACGAAAGCGUGGGGAGCAAACAGGAUUAGAUACCCUGGUAGUCCACGCCCUAAACGAUGUCUACUAGUUGUCGGGUUUUAAUUAACUUGGUAACGCAGCUAACGCGUGAAGUAGACCGCCUGGGGAUACGGUCGCAAGAUUAAAACUCAAAUGAAAUUGACCGGNUGAGAGNGCGAGACGACGACGAGGAGGAGG